UUGAAAGGGAAACGAUUGAAGUCAGUCGUACCGACGAGAAAUCAGCUUUUCGAAUGUGCAUUUGUGGGCGUAUGAGAUCUUCAUUGUUUGCAAUAUGUAUGUUUCUUUGGUGUAUUUUUUCGUAUGGUAGGUCAAUGUCGGUUUUGAUCGCCAUAAAAUGAUCGGAGGAAUGUAGCUUCGGCUUCGGUUGAAGUGUUAUAGCCUUUGGUAAAUGUGGUGAUUAAGACCGAGGAUUGCAACGAAUACCUUUUAGGCUAUCCGUCUGACCUCUGAAAGUUACUUAGGUGCCGAAAGCUUGCUUACGGUAUUAAGGUAUUACGGUCAAAAGGUUAGAACGGAUUACAUUCGUUAAGGAUGUUGACGUA
rnacentral:rRNA from 1 species